UGAAAAUUUUGUCUUCAUCACCAAGAGUUGUGUAUGUUAAAAUAAAUUCUAUACAUUUCAAAAACCUGUGGGUUUCAGUUCAGGUUUCGGGUCAACCUGAUUCCAUUUUUCAGGUUUCAGGUCAAUUCAGGUCUUGACCUGAAUCUAACAAUCAGUUUCAGGUCAAUAUCAGAUCGUGACAUGACUUGAACCUGAUCCAGGUUGACCUGACCUGUUCAGAUCCUUAG